GUUGACUUUUCCGUGUCGAGGUAAAUUCCUAAAUCUCCUUCAUACAAUUAACCAGAAAUUACGGACCUAUGGCACUCCUCUGGUUCCAAGUCAAAUCGGUCGAACCGGCCGGGUUUUAAAUAUGACCUAUUAGUUACUACCAUCAUCCCCAACAUGUCAUCUUCCACAAAUGGGUUCUGAAUCAAAAGAUUUGGAGAUGGCAUAUGAAGAUAGGAUCAGCAAAUUACCAAAUGAAAUUCAAUGUGAAAUAUUGUCACGUCUCUCAACAAAAGAUGCGGCCACAACCAGCGUUUUGUCAAGGGGUUGGAGACACAAAUGGACCGCUCUUGCCGAUCUAGAUCUACACACUCGACGCACUGUUAAUCCCAAACCAUUCCUGGAUUUCGUUAGCAGGGCUGUGACGGUUCGCUCGUUCCCAUCCAUCAAAAGAUUUAGACUUCAAAUUGAAGGAGAUUGUCCAAGUUCAAGCUUAAAGUCAUGGAUUGAAGCUGCGGUUAGUUAUAAAAUUGAGGAGCUGGAUCUUUGCAUCAACCAAGGAGGUGUUGCAGUUCCUGGUCAUCUUUUCAGCUGCGGAUCCGUAAAGGUUUUGAAGCUUCAGGGACGUGGCUGUUUUAUUGAUAAGAUUUAUUUUCCAGAAACUAUAUGUAUGCCGAAUCUCAAGAUCCUUCAUCUUGUAGCAAUCGAGUAUCCAGGUGAUUCUACCAUAGGAAGACUGUUAUCGUGUUUAUUUAAUCUACAAGAAUUGAUUAUGUAUAGAUUAAUGGACUUUCAUAAUAAGUGUAAGACUAUCCAUAUACAGUCUUCUUCAUUGAAAGUUAUCAAGCUUAACAUGUGGAGUGGAUGCUACAUGAAAAACACUAGGGUUGUUGUCGAUGCGCCUAAGCUUGAAUUUCUUGAGCUUUUAAGUCUUCACUGUCUAAUAGUUGACAUUAAGGCUAAUUCAUGCUCAAUAGUUCAUGCGGCUUUGUAUCUUAAUUCAUAUCUCUCCUAUCACCCUAAAGAUGCCGCUAUUCAAUCGGCUGCACUUCAAUUUAUCUCCAAUAUUUCUACUACUGUUAAAGUCUUAACCUUGUCUCCAGACAUUCUCCAGGAUAUUUUUGAUGCAUCCACCAAAAAUGUGCCUUCUUUUCCUAACUUGAAUCACUUGGUGCUGAGAACUUUCCAAAGUGGCAUGUCAAAUUUGCUUCAUAUGCUCAGAAUUUUACCAAAUUUAAAAGUUCUUGCACUCAAUAAGGUUCAUAAACAAUUUUUUCCAUCGGAAUAUUGGGAUGAUGAACAAAAUGCUGUGCCCCAGUGCUUGAACUCAUCCAUCGAAAGGUUUGAAUUUAAGGGAUACUCAGGCUGUUCAGGAGAUGUGAAAAUUCUAGAAUACAUCGUGAGAAACGCAAAGGCGUUGAAGGAAUUUUACGUCUUAGCGUUUUCUUCUGACGAUUCUGAAGAACCAUUCAAAGAAGAGCUUUUAAACAAGUUAUCAGUGUUGCCAAAGACAUGUCAAGUUAAAAUUGAACAUUCUAUAUCCACAGCUUUGGACCCAAAGGUUGCUCUUAUUCGAAUGGGCACUAGAGAAAGUUGUUCGAAUAAUGCUGCUAAACUGUGUUCCUAGCUUGUCUCUAUGAUAUAAAGGUAUGUGCUUGUCAAGUGAUUGCUAUUUGCGAUAGUUUCGAGUUUUGAAUUUCUACCAAAAAUGUGAAUUCAUACUGAAAAUCUUUUAGAAUAAGAUGGCGUAAGAAUGUUCACCACUGUCUCAUAACUUUAACCUUGUGAUGACUAAUUUUAUCCUGCUAGUCUAAAUUUUCCCCAGUUUGAUUAUUUUCCCAAAUCUUUUAGAUCUUGAUAUGCUUAACGACGUCAACAAGCAGUGACAGAAGGAUAAUAACUCAAUGGUACAAGAGAUUAUAAGGCUUGAAAACUGGCAAUUUUGGGUUGAUAUGUUUCAGAUUAAGCUAUUAGCUAAUAACAUGAGAGAAAGCUUGAUUCUUGAAGCGACAGAUUGUGUUAUUAUUGAAAUAUUUGAUGCUUACAACUGGAAAGCUUGGAACUAACUCAAGGUGGAAGAUCUUCCUUUAAUUUUUGAGUUUUGCAGGAAUUUUGGCGUUUUUAACGCAAUGGAAGACCUAAGGGGAUGUUUUGGUAACCCAAUUUGGAAUGGGAAUAUAAUUUGGAUUUGGUAUUCAAAUUUGAAAAUUUACUUUUAGGAAUAGGUUUCCCUUUUUAAUGUGCUUUCUACUGUUUUUAGGGCUCCGUUUCUUUAUUUUUCAUCUCUUAAAAUAGACUAAAAUAUCGUCAUCUCUAUUUUCAUUCUCUUUCUUUUUUCGUUAACCUGACUCCUUUCCUCUAUCUUCGUCCAUUAACACCAUUAUCCAAUCCUCCGAUCACCAAUUUCCUCUCCCUCCAAUGAUGUUGAAGUGUUCGUUGUUGUGAUAUGCUUUGUGUUCUCGGAUUCUUGUUUGAUCUCGCGCCAACACCAACUUAGUCACUGAAAUUUUUCUUUCCUCUUCUCCAUGAUGGUGAAGAUUUAGCUGCGGAGGAGGCAACGAAAUGAUGCAGAAAAUGAAACGGCGGUGGAGGCAUUAGAUCGAUGGUAAAGACGGAAAAGUCGGCGGCGAUAAUAUCUAAAAUUUGGUGAGGCAGAACGGCAGCGGCGAUAACAUCUGAAAUUUGGUGAGGCAGAACGGCAACGGCGAAAAAGGAAGAGCGGCAGCGGUAGAGAAGGAAGAACAACGGUGAUAUAAUAUAUGUUUGUUGUACCAAAGACGAGAACUUUAAAUCUAAUAUCAAUGUAGAUGAGGAGUUCUUGCCCGUCAAAACGGUGAUCUUACAAUCAUAUAUGAUGUCAUCGGAACAUACUACUGGAGUUAGUGGCCGCUGGGCACAUGUUGUAGUAGAAAUCACAAUCCCCAUAGUCGUCUCGAUAAUUACUUACUUUUUGUAUUUUUGGCCUUUUUUUUUUCUUUUUUGUCAGUAACAAUAAAUGUAGUUUAUCGUGAAACUAAGUGUAAUGAUAUUGUUUACAAUCAACUAUUUUAAAUAUGAAUUAUUAAUAUUUCUGAAUAA